CGGGACGGGUGAGUAAUGUCUGGGAAACGGCCCGAUGGAGGGGGAUAACUACUGGAAACGGUAGCUAAUACCGCAUAACGUCGCAAGACCAAAGAGGGGGACCUUCGGGCCUCUUGCCAUCGGAUGUGCCCAGAUGGGAUUAGCUAGUAGGUGGGGUAAUGGCUCACCUAGGCGACGAUCCCUAGCUGGUCUGAGAGGAUGACCAGCCACACUGGAACUGAGACACGGUCCAG
rnacentral:rRNA from 1 species